GGUGCUAGCGUUAAUCGGAAUUACUGGGCGUAAAGGGUGCGUAGGCGGUUGUUUAAGUCUGUUGUGAAAUCCCCGGGCUCAACCUGGGAAUGGCAAUGGAUACUGGGCAGCUAGAGUGUGGCAGAGGAUGGUGGAAUUCCCGGUGUAGCGGUGAAAUGCGUAGAGAUCGGGAGGAACAUCAGUGGCGAAGGCGGCCAUCUGGGACAACACUGACGCUGAAGCACGAAAGCGUGGGGAGCAAACAGG
rnacentral:rRNA from 1 species